GUGUGUGUGUGUUUUGAGACAGUCUCACUGGAUAGCCCAGGCUGGUCUCAAACUCAGCCUCUAAAGUCACAGCCUCUAAAGUCCCAGGAUUACAGAUGCAAGAGAGAUCCAGUGCAUGAUGUUCUGUCAGCCCAAAUGGAGACAAGGAAUCGACCUGCCAUCUUUGUUCUCUGUCCACCAUCUACAACUUCUGGGGAAGGAGUUUCCUCUCCUUGCAAUUCCUUCCAAAGGGAAAAACAGCAAAUCUCAGUCCCCAGCCUCUCCGGGCAUCGCCUUUCCUUCCAGGAUCAUGUGACUCAUUAGAAACUGGGUGGUCAGAUAAUAGAGGCCUAACUCAACGCUGUUAUCUCACCGACUCUCACCUCCUCUGGAUGCCAAAGGGUGAGUGUAGCAUACACUGAGAGAUGGCACAUCUUUAGCUCUGAACAAAGGGCUGCCUAGAGACUGCUGUCACAUUUCAGAGGAGAGCACUUUUAUCCCUGGAGAUGGGGUUGAAGUUCUAGUGUGAAGAGAUGGGAGGGAGACUGGGGUCAUGGCCACCCUCCCUUAGGCCCCAUCAGACUGCACAGAUGGCUGCUUUGAUGAGCUAUCUUUUGAGGGCAGAAGCUGUACCUUAUUUAUCAGUGUGUCACAGUUCUUGGUACAUAGAUGGUGCUGGAUGGACGAUGAAAACCAGAACAGGCCUGAGUGAUUGACAGCUCCCAGUAGCCCCUGGGCAGCAUGGUACCUCAGUGGCUAUGCGCUUAUGAGGGCUACUCCAUACAUGCUCUCAUCCAUGAUGCUAUUUUGUUUUUGUUUAUUUCUGAGAGAGAGUCUCACUCUGUAGCCCUGGUUAUCCUGGAGCUAUCUAUGAAGACCAGACUGGAUUCUACUUUGUUUAUCAAAAGUCUUAGAAAUUAGGCAAAGAACAUCCCCAGCUGCACUUUCAUGAAGGAAUGCCUUCUAAAUCAAUUGGGAAAAACAAGAAAACCACUCUAAUUCUCCUGUGAGCACCAAGCUUGACCACCAACAUAGAAACACCAGGGGUUUGAAGGACACUGCUGACAUCCGUCCAGAGCAUCAACCAAACAAAGUUGAAGGUUAAGGUUGACACUUUUGGGAACAAUGACAAAGGUACACAGAUGCUGUUCACUGUGGCUGUUGUAUUAUUAUGAAUGUUUGGAACCUCAUCGGGUACUGUGAAUUAUUGUUGUAGGAAAAUAAAUAGCAAUAAGUGUAUAUACAGUAUAAGCUUUCCCCUAGUCCUGUGAGUUGGCUGGGUCUGUCUGGUUCAAGUUGGGAAUUCCAGCUGCUCAGACAGGAUUGUAAUCUACAGGCUUGCCUUGGGGGAAAAGUGGGUUCAGAGGCAGCCUGAGCUACUUUCUAAGUGAGCCUGUCUCAAAAAUAAAAUCAUGCUGAGUAUAUAGCUCUGUGCUAGACUUUGCCUACCAUCCCUGGUUUAAAAAAAAAAAUCCUAUGGGUGGAGUUCCAAGAAACAACAAAGUCUGAAAGCAAAAACAAAUCCAAGAGACUGCUCAUCAGAUAAAGGCAACUACCUAAAUCUGAUGACCCAAGUUUCAUCUGGGGGGUUUUACGGGCCAGAAGAGAGAACUGACUCUUGCACGUUGUCCUCUGACCUCCAUAUACUCGCUACAGCAUGUGUACCCACACUCCAAAUACACCCAAAAGAAAAAACACUAUAGGUUUUUUUUUAAAGUCCCAAACCAUGAUUCUGUGUAGUGCUGUUGCCUCAAACAGCAAUUAAGAACAUUCCCACAAGCCAAUCUAAUAAGGGCAAUUUUCUUUAGCUCAGUCUCUCUUCCUGAGUGACUCUAGGUUUGUGCCACCUUGAAACUAUGACAAGUUAUUUCUCAUUUUUCCUCAAUAAAUCUGUGUUUGUUCUGA